rnacentral:rRNA from 1 species
CACUCGCUUACGAGUGGGCGUCCGGCGAAACUGCUCGGCUUGGGACCGGAAGAUCCAAGGGGUACGUCCGGGGUAGGAGUGAAAUCCCGUAAUCCUGGACGGACCACCGAUGGCGAAAGCACCUUGGAAGGACGGAUCCGACAGUGAGGGACGAAAGCUAGGGUCUCGAACCGGAUUAGAUACCCGGGUAGUCCUAGCCGUAAACGAUGCUCGCUAGGUGUGGCGCAGGCUACGAGCCUGCGCUGUGCCGUAGGGAAGCCGUGAAGCGAGCCGCCUGGGAAGUACGUCUGCAAGGAUGAAACUUAAAGGAAUUGGCGGGGGAGCACUACAACCGGAGGAGCCUGCGGUUUAAUUGGACUCAACGCCGGACAUCUCACCAGCUCCGACAGCAGUAAUGACGGUCAGGUUGAUGACCUUACCCGACGCUGCUGAGAGGAGGUGCAUGGCCGCCGUCAGCUCGUACCGUGAGGCGUCCUGUUAAGUCAGGCAACGAGCGAGACCCGCACCUCUAGUUGCCAGCAGCAUCUUGCGAUGGCUGGGUACACUAGGGGGACUGCCGUCGCUAAGACGGAGGAAGGAACGGGCAACGGUAGGUCC